CUGAUAACUUCACGGCGGGCUUGAUGUCCGCGUCUACCUGGUGAACUGCCGAGUAGGUAG
rnacentral:misc_RNA from 1 species